rnacentral:rRNA from 1 species
AGCUAAGUUCUUAAGGGCGCAUGGUGAAUGCCUUGGCACUAGAAGCCGAAGAAGGACGUAGGAGGCUGCGAUAAGCCUCGGGGAGCUGCCAACCGAGCUUUGAUCCGAGGAUCUCCGAAUGGGGAAACCCAGCACGAGUGAUGUCGUGUUACCCACUGCUGAAUAUAUAGGCUUUGGGAGGAAACGCGGGGAAGUGAAACAUCUCAGUACCCGUAGGAAGAGAAAACAACCGUGAUUCCGUGAGUAGUGGCGAGCGAAAGCGGAAGAUGGCUAAACCGCAUGCAUGUGAUACCUGGUAGGGGUUGUGUGUGCGGGGUUGUGGGAGUUGUACUUGCCGGUUCUACCAGGCCGGCGGACAGUAAAAAAGUGUCGUGAUUAGCGGAAGUGGUCUGGGACGGCCCGCCGCAGACGGUGAGAGUCCGGUACGCGAAAAUCCGACACCUGUCUCGUACUUCAUCCCGAGUAGCAGCGGGCUCGUGGAAUCUGCUGUGAAUCUGCCGGGACCACCCGGUAAGCCUAAAUACUCUCUAGUGACCGAUAGCGGAUUAGUACCGUGAGGGAAUGGUGAAAAGUACCCCGGGAGGGGAGUGAAAUAGUACCUGAAACCAUGUGCCUACAAUCCGUCAAAGCCUCCUUGUGGGGUGAUGGCGUGCCUUUUGAAGAAUGAGCCUGCGAGUCAGGGACACGUCGCGAGGUUAACCCGUGUGGGGUAGCCGUAGCGAAAGCGAGUCUGAAUAGGGCGCCCAUAGUGGCGUGUUCUGGACCCGAAGCGGAGUGAUCUACCCAUGGCCAGGGUGAAGCGGCGGUAAGACGCCGUGGAGGCCCGAACCCACUUAGGUUGAAGACUGAGGGGAUGAGCUGUGGGUAGGGGUGAAAGGCCAAUCAAACUCCGUGAUAGCUGGUUCUCCCCGAAAUGCAUUUAGGUGCAGCGUCGCGUGUUUCUUGUUGGAGGUAGAGCUACUGGAUGGCCGAUGGGCCCUACUAGGUUACUGACGUCAGCCAAACUCCGAAUGCCAAUAAGUUAGAGCGCGGCAGUGAGACGGCGGGGGAGAAGCUCCGUACGUCGAGAGGGAAACAGCCCAGAUCGCCGGCUAAGGCCCCUAAGCGUGUACUAAGUGGAAAAGGAUGUGCAGUCGCGAAGACAACCAGGAGGUUGGCUUAGAAGCAGCCACCCUUGAAAGAGUGCGUAAUAGCUCACUGGUCAAGUGAUUGUGCGCCGACANNNNNNNNNNNNNNNNNNNNNNNNNNNNNNNNNNNNNNNNNNNNNNNNNNNNNNNNNNNNNNNNNNNNNNNNNNNNNNNNNNNNNNNNNNNNNNNNNGACCAGUGAGAAGCGACUGUUUACUAAAAACACAGGUCCGUGCGAAGUCGCAAGACGAUGUAUACGGACUGACGCCUGCCCGGUGCUGGAAGGUUAAGAGGACCCGUUAACCCUUGGGUGAAGCGGAGAAUUUAAGCCCCAGUAAACGGCGGUGGUAACUAUAACCAUCCUAAGGUAGCGAAAUUCCUUGUCGGGUAAGUUCCGACCUGCACGAAUGGCGUAACGACUUCUCAACUGUCUCAACCAUAGACUCGGCGAAAUUGCACUACGAGUAAAGAUGCUCGUUACGCGCGGCAGGACGAAAAGACCCCGGGACCUUCACUAUAGCUUGGUAUUGGCGUUUGGUUCGGUUUGUGUAGGAUAGGUGGGAGACUGUGAAGCAGGCACGCCAGUGUUUGUGGAGUCAUCGUUGAAAUACCACUCUGAUCGUAUUGAACCUCUAACCUCGGACCGUAUAUCCGGUCCAGGGACAGUGCCUGGUGGGUAGUUUAACUGGGGCGGUUGCCUCCCAAAAUGUAACGGAGGCGCCCAAAGGUUCCCUCAACCUGGACGGCAAUCAGGUGUUGAGUGCAAGUGCACAAGGGAGCUUGACUGCGAGACCUACAAGUCAAGCAGGGACGAAAGUCGGGACUAGUGAUCCGGCACCUCUGAGUGGAAGGGGUGUCGCUCAACGGAUAAAAGGUACCCCGGGGAUAACAGGCUGAUCUUCCCCAAGAGUCCAUAUCGACGGGAUGGUUUGGCACCUCGAUGUCGGCUCGUCGCAUCCUGGGGCUGGAGCAGGUCCCAAGGGUUGGGCUGUUCGCCCAUUAAAGCGGCACGCGAGCUGGGUUUAGAACGUCGUGAGACAGUUCGGUCUCUAUCCGCCGCGCGCGUCAGAAACUUGAGGAAACCUGUCCCUAGUACGAGAGGACCGGGACGGACGAACCUCUGGUGUACCAGUUGUUCCACCAGGAGCACGGCUGGAUAGCUACGUUCGGACAGGAUAACCGCUGAAAGCAUCUAAGCGGGAAACCUAUUCCAAGACCAGGUUUCUCACCCUUUUAGAGGGAUAAGGUCACCCACAGACUAUGGGUUCAAUAGGCCAGACCUGCAAGCGUAGUAAUACGUUCAGGGAACUGGCACUAAUCGACCGAAAACUUACUAAUAA